GUGAGCGGGGAUGGAGUUGACACUGGCUCACUGGUAACCUGGGUGGCAGGGGACACGGAGAAGGAGGACAUUUCCAGCCUCUCUUGCAGCUAGGAGCAGCCCUGUGACACAGCUCCCGACCCACGAGGCGGCCGUAGAAGCUGCUGGAGGGUUGGCGGGAAAGCUUGGAUUUCCUCAUACAGAUCUACCCACCUUGUGAAGGGUUGAAGGGCAGAGAAAGGAGAGGAGCAGAGGCCAGACUCCCUGGUUGCUCGCUGGUGGCUCCCAACCGGCUUCUCGUGCCCUGCUGAAGUGAAGGCUGUGCCCCCACGAGACCCGGACACUUACUUCUCCAUGGGUUCUUGCCAUACCCCCAGCCAUGAUACCACAUGCGCUGUUCCGGUGCAACCUCAGAGAUGCAUCAGCCUUGGCUAGAUCUACUCCCGUCCUGCUCGGUCACUGGCCACAGAUCUUAGCUGGACAAGUCAUGCUCACUCCAGACUUCAGUGUUCCCUCA